rnacentral:rRNA from 1 species
UACAGAGGGGGCAAGCGUUUAUCGGAAUUAUUGGGCGUAAAGGGCGCGUAGGCGGCUUGGCAAGUGGAUGGUGAAAUCCCUCGGCUUAACCGAGGAACUGCCGUCCAAACUGCUUCGCUUGAGACCGGGAGAGGUGAGUGGAAUCCCAGUGUAGCGGUGAAAUGCGUAGAUAUUGGGAGGAACACCAGUGGCGAAGGCGGCUCACUGGACCGGUACUGACGCUGAUGCGCGAAAGCG